rnacentral:rRNA from 1 species
GACGAACGCUGGCGGCGUGCCUAAUACAUGCAAGUCGAGCGGACGAAUCGAAAGCUUGCUUUUGAUUCGUUAGCGGCGGACGGGUGAGUAACACGUGGGCAACCUGCCCUGUAGACGGGGAUAACACCGAGAAAUCGGUGCUAAUACCGGAUAACACGAAAUGUCGCAUGACGUUUCGUUGAAAGACGGCGCAAGCUGUCGCUACAGGAUGGGCCCGCGGCGCAUUAGCUAGUUGGUGAGGUAACGGCUCACCAAGGCGACGAUGCGUAGCCGACCUGAGAGGGUGAUCGGCCACACUGGGACUGAGACACGGCCCAGACUCCUUCGGGAGGCAGCAGUAGGGAAUCUUCCGCAAUGGACGAAAGUCUGACGGAGCAACGCCGCGUGAGCGAAGAAGGCCUUCGGGUCGUAAAGCUCUGUUGUUAGGGAAGAACAAGUAACGCAGUAACUGGCGUUACCGUGACGGUACCUAACGAGAAAGCCACGGCUAACUACGUG